rnacentral:rRNA from 1 species
AAAAUGAACAAGGUCUCCGUAGGUGAACCUGCGGAGGGAUCAUUACAAGUGACCCCGGUCUAACCACCGGGAUGUUCAUAACCCUUUGUUGUCCGACUCUGUUGCCUCCGGGGCGACCCUGCCUUCGGGCGGGGGCUCCGGGUGGACACUUCAAACUCUUGCGUAACUUUGCAGUCUGAGUAAACUUAAUUAAUAAAUUAAAACUUUUAACAACGGAUCUCUUGGUUCUGGCAUCGAUGAAGAACGCAGCGAAAUGCGAUAAGUAAUGUGAAUUGCAGAAUUCAGUGAAUCAUCGAAUCUUUGAACGCACAUUGCGCCCCCUGGUAUUCCGGGGGGCAUGCCUGUUCGAGCGUCAUUUCACCACUCAAGCCUCGCUUGGUAUUGGGCAUCGCGGUCCGCCGCGUGCCUCAAAUCGACCGGCUGGGUCUUCUGUCCCCUAAGCGUUGUGGAAACUAUUCGCUAAAGGGUGUUCGGGAGGCUACGCCGUAAAACAACCCCAUUUCUAAGGUUGACCUCGGAUCAGGUAGGGAUACCCGCUGAACUUAAGCAUAUCAAAG